rnacentral:misc_RNA from 1 species
CCAAUAGCGUAUAUUAAAGUUGUUGUGGUUAAAAAGCUCGUAGUUGAACCUUGGGCCUGGCUGGCCGGUCCGCCUCACCGCGUGUACUGGUCCGGCCGGGCCUUUCCCUCUGUGGAACCUCAUGCCCUUCACUGGGUGUGACGGGGAAGCAGGACUUUUACUGUGAAAAAAUUAGAGUGCUCCAAGCAGGCCUAUGCUCGAAUACAUUAGCAUGGAAUAAUAAAAUAGGACGUGCGGUUCUAUUUUGUUGGUUGCUAGGACCGCCGUAAUGAUUAAUAGGGACAGUCGGGGGCAUAAGUAUUCAAUUGUCAGAGGUGAAAUUCUUUGAUUUAUUGAAGACUAACUACUGCGAAAGCAUUUGCCAAGGAUGUUUUCAUUAAUCAGGAACGAAAGUUAGGGGAUCGAAGACGAUCAGAUACCGUCGUAGUCUUAACCAUAAACUAUGCCGACUAGGGAUCGGACGAUGUUAUUUUUUGACUCGUUCGGCAGCUUCUG